GAUGAAGAACGUAGCGAAAUGCGAUAAGUAAUGUGAAUUGCAGAAUUCAGUGAAUCAUCGAAUCUUUGAACGCACAUUGCGCCCGCCAGCAUUCUGGCGGGCAUGCCUGUUCGAGCGUCAUUUCAACCCUCGAGCCCCCCCGGGGGCCUCGGUGUUGUGGGACGGCACACCAGCCGCCCCCGAAAUGCAGUGGCGACCUCGCCGCAGCCUCCCCUGCGUAGUAGCACACACCUCGCACCGGAGCGCGGAGACGGUCACGCCGUAAAACGCCCAACUUCUUAGAGUUGACCUCGGAUCAGGUAGGAAUACCCGCUGAACUUAAGCAUAUCAAUAAGCGGAGGA
rnacentral:misc_RNA from 1 species